AGAAGAAUGUAGGGGAGCUGGUGUAGCCAGCUGAGAUUGUAUCCUUAAGAUGCUAACCCUUUGAACCUGAUUUGGUUAACACCAGCGUAGGGAACAUUGACUUCAAAUUU
rnacentral:ncRNA from 2 species